rnacentral:lncRNA from 1 species
UCACUCAUAUCUCUUUCCUAAUUUUUCUCCAUCUUUUGAAAAGCAAAAUUUACAAACGUAAUUAGAGAUGAAUAGCAAAUCCAUUAUUUUUUAUUUAAUCAGAUCUUGUGAUGAUCAAACAAAGUUUAAAAGAUCUGAUGCGUGCGUGAGUCAAGAUCCAGCAAUUUAAAAGAUCUGGUGCUGGUUGAAAGAUAUGGUGGUGGAAAACAAAUACGGUGGUAAACAAAUCAGUUGUGGGGGGCUUUGCAUGUGUGUUUGAGGGCUUCGAAGAUGCGAUGUUUUGGUUCAAGAAAAGUGUGAAUCAGUCACCAAAAGAUCCGAAACAACAACCAAUAUCUAAACCGAACAUCCAAGAUCUUAAAAAAAAUUGGUGCGGUUCAGCGAUCAAGAUUCGAAAGCGGACAACAACCAUCUAGAUCAAGUAUGUUUUUAGGUUUAAGGAAAUAUUGUUUAAGAGAUACGAUUUUCUUAUACGUAUUUGUUUAAAAUUUUAAUUAUGUAUCAUUUUCUUGAUUGAUUUAUUUUGAUGUUAAUGGUGGAUUGAAAUGGCACAAAAAGAUAAGUAAAGUAGAUUUUAAUUAUGUAUCAGUUUUAUGAAAUGUACACUUUUUAGAUAUUGUGAUACC